rnacentral:misc_RNA from 1 species
AAGUCGUAACAAGGUCUCCGUUGGUGAACCAGCGGAGGGAUCAUUACCGAGUUUACAACUCCCAAACCCCUGUGAACAUACCUAUACGUUGCCUCGGCGGAUCAGCCCGCGCCCUGUAAAACGGGACGGCCCGCCGCAGGACCCAUAAACCCUGAAUUUUUAUUGUAACUUCUGAGUUUAAAAAACAAAUAAAUCAAAACUUUCAACAACGGAUCUCUUGGUUCUG